rnacentral:sRNA from 1 species
CAAAAAAGCAAAAAAAAAAAGAGAAAAAAAA